AGUGAACGCUGGCGGUAGGCCUAACACAUGCAAGCCGAACGGCAGCACAGUAAGAGCUUGCUCUUACGGGUGGCGAGUGGCGGACGGGUGAGGAAUACAUCGGAAUCUACUUUUUCGUGGGGGAUAACGUAGGGAAACUUACGCUAAUACCGCAUACGACCUACGGGUGAAAGCAGGGGAUCUUCGGACCUUGCGCGAUUGAAUGAGCCGAUGUCGGAUUAGCUAGUUGGCGGGGUAAAGGCCCACCAAGGCGACGAUCCGUAGCUGGUCUGAGAGGAUGAUCAGCCACACUGGAACUGAGACACAGUCCAGACUCCUACGGGAGGCAGCAGUGGGGAAUAUUGGACAAUGGGCGCAAGCCUGAUCCAGCCAUACCGCGUGGGUGAAGAAGGCCUUCGGGUUGUAAAGCCCUUUUGUUGGGAAAGAAAAGCAGCAGGUUAAUACCCCGCUGUUCUGACGGUACCCAAAGAAUAAGCACCGGCUAACUUCGUG
rnacentral:rRNA from 1 species